rnacentral:rRNA from 1 species
AACGAACGCUGGCGGCAUGCCUAACACAUGCCAGUCGAACGAGACCUUCGGGUCUAGUGGUGCACGGGUGCGUAACGCGUGGGAAUCUGCCCUUGGGUUCGGAAUAACAGUUGGAAACGACUGCUAAUACCGGAUGAUGACGUAAGUCCAAAGAUUUAUCGCCCAAGGAUGAGCCCGCGUAGGAUUAGCUAGUUGGUGAGGUAAAGGCUCACCAAGGCGACGAUCCUUAGCUGGUCUGAGAGGAUGAUCAGCCACACUGGGACUGAGACACGGCCCAGACUCCUACGGGAGGCAGCAGUGGGGAAUAUUGGACAAUGGGCGAAAGCCUGAUCCAGCAAUGCCGCGUGAGUGAUGAAGGCCUUAGGGUUGUAAAGCUCUUUUACCCGGGAUGAUAAUGACAGUACCGGGAGAAUAAGCUCCGGCUAACUCCGUG